CAAGACGAGAAAAAAAAGAUUGCACUCUAUUGACUCGAGAAGAGAUUGAAAAUCCAUAAAUAUGUGCUCAAAUUUGUGUUCAGAAAAUAGUAGAAUUGGCCAAGGAGAUUACGACAAUUUACCAGGUUUUAGAUCCAAUGUUCGCUUACUUUGAUAAUGGGAAGCACUGGGCUCCUCGGCAGGGGUUAGCUAUGGCUGUGUUCUGUCUGAUAUGUGCUACUUUAUGGACACUGCAGGAAAUGAGCAGUUGAUUCUAGCUGCUGUCAUUCGACAUCUAGAUCACAAAAAUGUUGCACAUGAUCCGCAAAUUAAAUCUGAUAUUGUUCAGAUUGCUAAGGCUUUGGCUCGACAACUCAGAACACGAGCUGUAGUCUCUGAAAUUGGGAUUAUC